GGACCCGAGAGCACUCUGGCUGGGACAUCUGUCACCCCACUGAUCGCCAGCGUUGACUCGGCUGAUCUGGCUGGCUAGGAGGGUGUCCCCUUCCUCCCUCACCGCUCCAUGUGCACCCCUCCCGAAGCUGUGCGCUCGGUCGAAGAGGACGACCAUCCCCGCUAGAAGAGCACUUCUUUUCGGUCAAGGGUGUACAAGUAGAUGCGCUCCCCUGCCACAACCUCCAAACAAGCUCUCAAUAACAAAUAUGGGAAGAACAAGGUGGUAGUGAGACUAAACAAGGAAGACUAACUACCUAAAGAGGGGGAAUGCUCGGUUA
ensembl:misc_RNA 7SK 7SK RNA